GGAGAAGAGGAAUGUGGCUGGGUUGUACUGUGCAAGGCAUACAGUUGCUUGGUCAGAGUGCAGAGGCAGGGGAUUCUAGCCCACACAGAGCCAGGCAGCCCAUGAAGACAGCCAUGUGAAGAUAGAGACACACAGAAAGAACGUCAUGUCAUAAUGAAGAUGAAGCUUGUAGUUAUGCAGCUGAAAGCUAAGCAAUGCCAAGGAAGCUAGGAAGAAGCAAGAAAGGAUUUCUCUACAGAUUUCAGAGGACGCAGGACCCUGCCAACACCUUGAUCACAGACUUCUAGCUUCCAGAGCUGUGGAACAAUAUAUUUCUGUUGUUUUAAGCCACCCAAUUUGCGAUACUUUAUUAUGGCAGCUCCAGUAACUAACAUACAUACCAUAUUUCGAUCUCAUCUUAAUUUUGUAAAUAUGAGCACUUGACUUUUCCAACAAUUAUUAUAAUAGCAAUAACAAUCAACAACGAGCAGAAUAAUAGUUGAUUUGUUCCUAGUUUUUCCAAGGUUGUCAGUUUUCUUCACCCCAAAAGUGGAAUCUUCAUUUCAGUUUUAGAUACUCUAGAAAUGCACUAUUCAACUUGAUAGCCACUUGUCACAUAUGGCUAUGGAGCACUAGAAAUGUGGCUAGUUCAAAGUGAGAUGUGGUUUCAAUAUAAAAUACAUACUACAUUGUGAAGACUUAGGAAGAAAAAAAGAAUGUAAAAUAUCUCAUUAAUUUUUUUAUGUUGCCUAUAUUUUGAAAUAACAUGUUGAGUACAUUGAGUUGAAUAAAAAUUUUAUCAUCAACUAAUGUGGCUCCUAGAAAUUUUUAAAUUUCAUAUGUGGCUGACAUAUUUCUGUUGGACAGUGCAGCUCUUGACCCAAGAAGAGAAUGUUGCAUGGUGUAGUAGGAAAAAGCUCUAACCUGGAAAGGAGGAAACUUUAGUUUCAGGGCUGAUUAUUCUGACUCUACCAGAUAUUUGAAUUUGGGCCAAUCAUGUCACUUUUCUACACACAGCCCCAACAUCUGAAAAAUAAGGUUGUGCUAUUUAAUUUCUAAUGUAAUUUCACUUUCUAAACAUUUAUCUUAAUAUAAGUAAAGUGUUGUCUCAAGUCAUGCUGUUGCUCUUUUUCUGAAUCUGGUAAUGUAUAUAUUUUAUAUCAAUAUGUAUUAUAUCAUAUUUUAUAUAUAAUAUUUUACAUUACACAAAUUAUAGUGUGUGCAUGUGUAUGUGUAUGGUACACCAUUGUAUGUAGAAGCACGUAUAACCCAUAUGGGGCUAUAGGUGUUUCUACAUUCAGAAUUGCUUGGCAUUUUGAAAAGUAAUACAGGCAGAUAUUUUCUAUUACAUAACGCUCCCAG
rnacentral:lncRNA from 1 species